rnacentral:rRNA from 1 species
ACAGGAAGCAGCUUGCUGCUUCGCUGACGAGUGGCGGACGGGUGAGUAAUGUCUGGGAAACUGCCUGAUGGAGGGGGAUAACUACUGGAAACGGUAGCUAAUACCGCAUAACGUCGCAAGACCAAAGAGGGGGACCUUCGGGCCUCUUGCCAUCGGAUGUGCCCAGAUGGGAUUAGCUUGUUGGUGGGGUAACGGCUCACCAAGGCGACGAUCCCUAGCUGGUCUGAGAGGAUGACCAGCCACACUGGAACUGAGACACGGUCCAGACUCCUACGGGAGGCAGCAGUGGGGAAUAUUGCACAAUGGGCGCAAGCCUGAUGCAGCCAUGCCGCGUGUAUGAAGAAGGCCUUCGGGUUGUAAAGUACUUUCAGCGGGGAGGAAGGGAGUAAAGUUAAUACCUUUGCUCAUUGACGUUACCCGCAGAAGAAGCACCGGCUAACUCCGUGCCAGCAGCCGCGGUAAUACGGAGGGUGCAAGCGUUAAUCGGAAUUACUGGGCGUAAAGCGCACGCAGGCGGUUUGUUAAGUCAGAUGUGAAAUCCCCGGGCUCAACCUGGGAACUGCAUCUGAUACUGGCAAGCUUGAGUCUCGUAGAGGGGGGUAGAAUUCCAGGUGUAGCGGUGAAAUGCGUAGAGAUCUGGAGGAAU